CUUCACCGACCCCAGCCACAACGGCCGCUCGGCAUCCCGCCCCUGCCCAUACGUCGCCAGCAACGCCUCCGCCUC
rfam:Streptomyces pactum strain KLBMP 5084, complete genome.